CCUUCUACUUCCAUAGAGUUCAGUUUCAAUUCAAUCGGCACUCAUUCAACUGAGAAUAUGAAAUAUUUGCAACUAAUCCUUAUUGUCCUGGUAGCGUUCCUUGGGCUCUCAAUGAGUUUAAAAAUGCCCAAGUCCAAAAUGGGGAAAGAGUGGAAGUGUCCUCGCAAAGAAAACAACUAUGGCAAACGUAAAGAUCCGAUAUAAACGAUCCGACAUAAAUAUUCCUAAUUAGUACAUACUAACUGCCUCUAUGUACUAUGUAGAAUCUAUGUAAAAUCUAUUUAUUUUCAAUAAACAACUAAGCUGCAAACAUAAA
rnacentral:sRNA from 1 species